ensembl:lncRNA
AUGAGACAAGUACUCCCAGAGAAGAGGAGGACACACCCCGGACAGGCCGAUAUCUCCCGGCAAGGCCUAAGAGGGGUGGCAGAUGCCCAGCUAUGGAUGGCCUACAUGUGCCCUUUGAGUGAUACAUACCAGGGCAAGUUCUCAUAACCAGUGCCUUCUUAACCCCUCUGUAUGGUCUGUUUAGGGCAUCCUGAAAUAUAGGUUUAUGUAGUAUAUUUAUAAAGUAUUAUAAUUGUUGAACAGCAGUUUUUAGACUCAUGCAUGCAGAAUGGAUUUUCAGUUGCAAAGACAGUUGGAAUCCAAAUACUUGCUCAGACUGACUUUCUACUUUGUGUAUAAUAAAAAAAAAGGUUAUUGUAUAUAUAAUUUAUUU